ensembl:snoRNA SNORD36 Small nucleolar RNA SNORD36
GUGCAAUGAUGCGCGAAUUUCUUCACCUGAACUCACCAUGAAGAGUAAAAAUCGAGCUUUUUAACACUGAGUCACA